AUGAACUCCGAGAUUAUCGAUCGAAUUAGGAAGAGGAGAAGCGAGGAUGAUGAAGAUAUGAUGUCCUUUAUUCUACCAGUAUUGCAUCGAAUGCGUAAUAGAGGACCAGUCGAGAGAAAGCAGCGACAUAGCUCCAUCCUAUAUGGCAAGAAGCGUGUUGACGAUAUACUUAGAGGCCAUGUUAAGAAUUGCCUCGUAGCUUAUAGGAUGGAGCCACGUAUCUUUCAGGCUUUGGCAUCUUAUCUUAGAAGAGAAAAUCUGAUAUCCGAUACAAGAAUUAAGGUGGAGGAGAAGUUGGCAUUUUUCCUGUACAUGGUGUCUCACAAUGCAUCUUAUGAAGAUCUCCAGCUAGAAUUUCAGCAUAGUGGACAAACAUUUCAUGAGUACAUCAAUGAGUUCUUCAACAUCGUCCCCAUCGUCCCCAUCAUAGCCCCAUCGUCCCCAUCUUAG
rnacentral:rRNA from 1 species